rnacentral:piRNA from 1 species
AGCAAUCAUAUACUGCCCUAAAACAAAGCCU